GGCAACCCACUCCAGUCCCCUUCUGCACUGUGGAAGCUUUGUUCUUUUGCUCUUUGCAAUAAAUCUUGCUACUGCUCACUCUUUGCGUCCACACUGCCUUUAUGAGCUGUAACACUCACUGCGAAGGUCUGCAGCUUCACUCCUGAAGCCAGCCAGACUACGAACCCACCGGGAGGAACGAACAACUCCAGAUGCGCCACCUUAAGAGCUGUAACACUCACCGCGAAGGUCCCGCAGCUUCACUCCUGAGCCAGCAAGACCACGAACCCACCAGAAGGAAGAAACUCCGAACACAUCUGAACAUCAGAAGGAACAAACUCUGGACACACUGCCUUUAAGAACUGUAAUACUCACCGUGAGGGCCCGCGGCUUCAUUCUUGAAGUCAGUGAGACCAAGAACCCACCAAUUCCAGACACAGUGGGAUCACAGAGAGAGCCAACAGUCCAGGCCAUGACAAGCUGGCACCCAGCUCUGCUUCACAUGAUCAAACUGCAUCACGGAAGCUGCACACGAUGACACCCUGUCUGGAAAGUUUUUGCCAGAGGGCAAAAGACUGCAAGCAGAAUAUCCCUUUGCCAUUUCUCAUUCAGGACUGGCCGUUGUCUGAAAGCAAACCUCAAGGACAGGACUUCUGGACUCCGCAGCCACUUCAGGCUGCUGCUCCAUCGCAUGAAUUCCAGCAGGUGGCGCUGCACCCCGCGCGGACCCGGCUUGCCUCUCGGCCCCAGGGAGGAAGCCCUGGAGAGGAUCGUUCAUGGAAACAAGGAUGACGACUGGGGUAAGAAAUGCAGGUGACUCGUGAGUGGUCAGGGAGUGGAAGAGAAGACGGCUGGAAGGUUUUAGCAUUCAGAAAAAAAAUGGAGACAACUAGAGUUGAUCUGAAGAUUAUGGCAGAAUUCAAUAUUGGGGGAAAGAAACAAGAUGGGGGUUAGAAAUUAGAAACAGCAGAGCUCCACAGGUUGGAAAGGUUGGAAAGGAUUUGAGCAAGAGAACAAGGAGCCUGCUAAUAGCACCCUGGGUUUACAUCAAGAGAAGCACCUGGAGAGAAUUAACUCGGGAGGAGGUGGGGGCAUGGGAAACCUUUUCAUCUCCAAGAGCGGGCAGGAACAGCAGCUGGCCUGAACUUGAAGGUACACCAGGUAGCUUGCGUGGGCCAGGAGAAGGUGAUUCUCUUCUAUGCCUCUCUCCAACGCCCUGCUUCUGAUGCUGCUCCUCUACCUGUAUUGAGGGGAAGAUACAUCCCUAAGAAGUUCCCUGAACCCCAUUCUUUGUUGUGGCUAACUGGUCCCCUUGGAAUUUUUCUACUAAUUUUCAAUUCCCCCUCUCACCUGGUGAAAUCUUGAAUCUUACUGUUCAAUAAAAGUUCUUCUACCGAAAUUUCUAUA
ensembl:lncRNA LINC01554 long intergenic non-protein coding RNA 1554